UUUGAGAUUAGGGGAGAGACAACACAAGAACAAGAAAACCCUAAACCUAAAUUUUUUUCCCCUUGCAGCCGCUGAACCAAGCCAGCCCCCACCUCACCUUUUGAAUUUUUUUUUUCUUCUCCCUCACCCGGAGCCACACACAGCCGCCCUUGACCCGUAGCCCAUCUCCUUCUUCCUCUUGAGACACAAACCAAAGCCAAACAGCCGCUCAUUUUUUUCCCCCUUUCCCUGACCCGACAGCAACAUCAGAGUCUCUCAGUUGCUUCAUUCUCCCCUCUCAGCCGUUCCUUUCCAUUUCCAUCAACCCGGAACUUUUCCUCUCAGCUGCAGGAGCAAGGGACGAACCGAACGGAGACCAUAGCAGCCUCCUCUGCAAUCUUCUUCCUUCCCCGGCCAUCGCUGCUGCUUCCCCCUCCACCGAUCUUCCUUCGACGGCGUCUCCUCCAAAAUCACAGACCCGACCCAGCCUUCUCUCCUUCAGCCGACCUCCAGCAGAACGGGUAGAGCUGCUCCCAUCGCCUCAGACCCACAGUCUCCAUCUCCGGCUAACAGCAGUUCUUCCUUCCCCAGCGCAGCAGUCGCCUCCACCAACGGCCACCCGAACACAGCGAAGCAGAUCUAACGGAGAAGAGAGGAGGCAGAGAAACGAAAGGGGCAGAUCUAAAAAGAGGAAACAAAGCAGAUUUCGAAAACAAAGGAAACAAAAAUUAAAAUCAAUUGCUGGCUGUGUGUUGAG
rnacentral:lncRNA from 1 species